rnacentral:rRNA from 1 species
UCAGUCGACUCCUACGGGGAUGCAGCAGUGGGGAAUAUUGCACAAUGGGGGAAACCCUGAUGCAGCCAUGCCGCGUGUGUGAAGAAGGCCUUCGGGUUGUAAAGCACUUUCAGUAGGGAGGAAGGUAGUGUAGUUAACACCUGCAUUAUUUGACGUUACCUACAGAAGAAGCACCGGCUAACUCCGUGCCAGCAGCCGCGGUAAUACGGAGGGUGCGAGCGUUAAUCGGAAUUACUGGGUGUAAAGCGCAUGCAGGCGGCCUGUUAAGUCAGAUGUGAAAGCCCGGGGCUUAACCUCGGAAUUGCAUUUGAAACUGGCAGGCUAGAGUCUUGUAGAGGGGGGUAGGAAUUUCAGGUGUAGCGGUGAAAUGCGUAGAGAUCUGAAGGAAUACCAGUGGCGAAGGCGGCCCCCUGGACAAAGACUGACGCUCAGAUGCGAAAGCGUGGGGAGCAAACAGGAUUAGAUACCCUGGUAG